AGUUUUUGAUCCUAGGCUCAGAGUGAACGCUGGGCGGCGUGCUUAAUACCUUUAAGGGGAACGAGAACGGNACNAGCUGGCNAGGANGGCAGCUAAGGGGCGGACGGGAGAGNAAGGGANAGNNAAGCNGCCCNNCAGAGGGGGAGAACNACGGGAAACGGNAGCNAANACCCCAGANACCNGCGACCGNAAGGGNAGCGGGGAAAGGGCGGGGCGCNGAAGGANGAGACNACAGGGGANCAGGGAGGNGGGGGGGAAAGAGCCCACCAAGCCAAGGACGCCNAGCNGGGCNGAGAGGANGANCAGCCACACGGGAACUGAGACACGGACCAGACUCCGACGGGAGGCAGCAGGGGGGAAAAANGCACAAGGGACGAAAGNCUGANGCAGCAACGCCGCGGGGAGGAAGACACACNGCGGAGCGGAAACUCCUUUUAUAUGGGAAGAUAAUGACGGUACCAUAUGAAUAAGCACCGGCUAACUCCGUGCCAGCAGCCGCGGUAAUACGGAGGGUGCAAGCGUUACUCGGAAUCACUGGGCGUAAAGCGCGCGCAGGCGGUCUUUUAAGUUGGAUGUGAAAGCCUACGGCUCAACCGUAGAACUGCAUCCAAAACUAUUAGACUAGAGUGUGGGAGAGGAAGAUGGAAUUAGUUGUGUAGGGGUAAAAUCCGUAGAGAUAACUAGGAAUACCAAAAGCGAAGGCAAUCUUCUGGAACACUACUGACGCUGAGGCGCGAAAGCGUGGGGAGCAAACAGGAUUAGAUACCCUGGUAGUCCACGCAGUAAACGAUGAAUGUUAGCCUCCGGUGGCCUCGUGUCUUCGGUGAUGCAGCUAACGCAUUAAACAUUCCGCCUGGGGAGAACGGUCGCAAGAUUAAAACUCAAAGGAAUAGACGGGGACCCGCACAAGUGGUGGAGCAUGUGGUUUAAUUCGAAGAUACGCGAAGAACCUUACCUAGCCUUGACAUAUUUAAGAACUCCGUAGAGAUACAGAGGUGCCUUCGGGAGCUUUCUUACAGGUGCUGCACGGCUGUCGUCAGCUCGUGUCGUGAGAUGUUGGGUUAAGUCCCGCAACGAGCGCAACCCUCGUCACUAGUUACUAACGGUUCGGCCGAGGACUCUAGUGAGACUGCCUUCGUAAGGAGGAGGAAGGUGAGGACGACGUCAAGUCAUCAUGGCCCUUACGGCUAGGGCAACACACGUGCUACAAUGGCCAGGACAAUGAGACGCAAUACCGUGAGGUGGAGCAAAUCUAUAAACCUGGUCUCAGUUCGGAUUGUAGUCUGCAACUCGACUACAUGAAGCUGGAAUCACUAGUAAUCGUAGAUCAGCUAUGCUACGGUGAAUACGUUCCCGGGUCUUGUACUCACCGCCCGUCACACCAUGGGAGUUGAUUUCACCCGAAGCGGGGAAGCUAAACUGCCUAAAGGCCACGGUGGAAUUAGCGACUGGGGUGAAGUCGUAACAAGGUAGCC
rnacentral:rRNA from 1 species